rnacentral:rRNA from 1 species
AAUGCCUAGGAAUCUGCCUGGUAGUGGGGGAUAACGUUCGGAAACGGACGCUAAUACCGCAUACGUCCUACGGGAGAAAGCAGGGGACCUUCGGGCCUUGCGCUAUCAGAUGAGCCUAGGUCGGAUUAGCUAGUUGGUGAGGUAAUGGCUCACCAAGGCGACGAUCCGUAACUGGUCUGAGAGGAUGAUCAGUCACACUGGAACUGAGACACGGUCCAGACUCCUACGGGAGGCAGCAGUGGGGAAUAUUGGACAAUGGGCGAAAGCCUGAUCCAGCCAUGCCGCGUGUGUGAAGAAGGUCUUCGGAUUGUAAAGCACUUUAAGUUGGGAGGAAGGGCAGUUACCUAAUACGUGAUUGUUUUGACGUUACCGACAGAAUAAGCACCGGCUAACUCUGUGCCAGCAGCCGCGGUAAUACAGAGGGUGCAAGCGUUAAUCGGAAUUACUGGGCGUAAAGCGCGCGUAGGUGGUUAGUUAAGUUGGAUGUGAAAUCCCCGGGCUCAACCUGGGAACUGCAUUCAAAACUGACUGACUAGAGUAUGGUAGAGGGUGGUGGAAUUUCCUGUGUAGCGGUGAAAUGCGUAGAUAUAGGAAGGAACAC